rnacentral:rRNA from 1 species
AGCUCCAAUAGCGUAUAUUAAAGUUGUUGCAGUUAAAAAGCUCGUAGUUGGAUUUGUGGUUGUCGCUGGCCGUUCUUCACUCUGUGUUGAAUGGGCUGGCGUCGCCAUCCUUGGGUGGAUCCUGUGUGGCAUUAGGUUGUCGUGCAGGGGAUGCCCAUCGUUUACUGUGAAAAAAUUAGAGUGUUCAAAGCAGGCUUAUGCCGUUGAAUAUAUUAGCAUGGAAUAAUAAGAUAGGACCUUGGUACUAUUUUGUUGGUUUGCGCACCAAGGUAAUGAUUAAUAGGGACAGUUGGGGGUAUUCGUAUUCCAUUGUCAGAGGUGAAAUUCUUGGAUUUCUGGAAGACGAACUACUGCGAAAGCAUUUACCAAGGAUGUUUUCAUUAAUCAAGAACGAAAGUAC